GGGGGGGGGGGGGGGGGGGCUGGGUUUGGGGUUCAGGGGGUUCGGGGGUGCUGGGGAGGGGGGGAGGAUGCCCAGCAGCGGGAGGUGGUGGCAGUGUCACCUCCCUGAGGGGUGACAAGGUGGCUCCCCAAAAUUGGGAAUGUUCCCACAUCCUGCUGUGCUCCCAAUCCAAGGGCUCCUGGAUCCUGGAACAGGGAAAAUUCUCUCCAGCUCCAUUCCCAGGGAGAGAGUUCCCCAUUCUGGCCAUGGAGAAAUGACAAAUGGAGAAAGGGGAAUGGGGAAUGGGGAAUGGGGAAUGGGAAUGGGAAUGGGGAAUGGGGAAUGGGAAUGGAAAUGAGAAUGGGGAAUGGGGAAUGGGGAAUGGGAAUAGGAAUGGGAAUGGGGAAUGGGAAUGGGAAUGGGAAUGGGAAUGGGAAUGGGAAUGGGAAUGGGAAUGGGAAUGGGAAUGGGAAUGGGGAAUGGGAAUGGGAAUGGGGAAUGGGAAUGGGGAAUGGGGAAAGAGGAAUGGGGGAUGGGGAAUGGGAAUGGGAAUGGGAAUGGGAAUAGGGAAUGGGAAUGGGGAAUGGGGAAUGGAGAAAUGACAGAUGCAGAAUGGAGAACAGGGAAUGGGGAAUGGCUCUUCCAUGCUGCUAUCCCGACUUUUCCAAGGACCAGAUCCAUCAUCCCAAUGGUCACAAGGCUCUCCCCCGCUGGGAAUCCAGGGCUCCCCCCCCCAUUUUUUAAUUUUUUUUUUUUUUUUUUUGACCUAAAUCUGAGCCCUUUCCAGCGGGAUUUGGGCCGGUUUUGGGGGAUGCCCCGCUCAGGGGGGGUUUGGGGUGGCAGCAGCAGUGUCGGGGAUCCGAGCGGGAGGAGGGGAGCUCUGAUUGAUCGGCGUCUUUUAAAAUAAAACCACGCGGAGCCUGGAUCUUCCCUUUCCGUGGGAUGUGGAAAACCUGGAGAGGGGGAAGAGACAGAAACAGCUCCGAGUGCAGGGAUCGUUAAUUUAUGAUCCGAGAAACGCUGGAGCUGGAAGAUGGCAGGGAGAGGACCUGGCUGAGGAGAAACCUCUUUUCUCCACAGGCAAAAGGCAGAGCGUUUGUAACCCAAAUUCCUGCUCCAGGAAUUAUUCCUGCUGCUUCCAGCCGCACUGGGAGCUUUGGCUUUUCCUGCCCUUUGGGGUGCAAAUUCCUGCGAGGAUUUGGGGGUUCUGACAGCCUCAGGAAUUCCCUUUUUGCUGUUUUUUUUUUUUUGGGGGGGGAGGGGGAUGUUCUUUAUAUACCCGGAGCAUGAUGGGGAGGGAUUGGAAUCCCCAAAUCCCAGAGGAUUUUGCUUCCAGGACCCCCAGGACAUUGAUUUCCACUCCCCCUCCCUCCCGAGGUCACCAGAGCUGCUCCAACCCCUCCACGGGAAAUGAGAAUCGAUGGCUGAGCUCACGAGUUAUUGAUCCCUGGGGGAUCGAUGCCAGCUGAAUUCCCAACGGAAUGGGAAAGGCUGGGAAUGCGCCGCCCCAG
rnacentral:lncRNA from 12 species